rnacentral:rRNA from 1 species
CUAACACAUGCAAGUCGAACGGGUAACAGGAAGAAGCUUGCUUCUUUGCUGACGAGUGGCGGACGGGUGAGUAAUGUCUGGGAAACUGCCUGAUGGAGGGGGAUAACUACUGGAAACGGUAGCUAAUACCGCAUAACGUCGCAAGACCAAAAAGGGGGACCUUCGGGCCUCUUGCCAUCGGAUGUGCCCAGAUGGGAUUAGCUAGUAGGUGGGGUAACGGCUCACCUAGGCGACGAUCCCUAGCUGGUCUGAGAGGAUGACCAGCCACACUGGAACUGAGACACGGUCCAGACUCCUACGGGAGGCAGCAGUGGGGAAUAUUGCACAAUGGGCGCAAGCCUGAUGCAGCCAUGCCGCGUGUAUGAAGAAGGCCUUCGGGUUGUAAAGUACUUUCAGCGGGGAGGAAGGGAGUAAAGUUAAUACCUUUGCUCAUUGACGUUACCCGCAGUAGAAGCACCGGCUAACUCCGUGCCAGCAGCCGCGGUAAUACGGAGGGUGCAAGCGUUAAUCGGAAUUACUGG